AACGCACCUUGCGCCCCUUGGUAUUCCGAGGGGCAUGCCUGUUUGAGUGUCAUUAAAUUCUCAACCUCACCAGUUUUCUGAACCGCGUCGAGGCUUGGAUGUGGGGGUUUGUGCAGGCUGCCUCAGCGCGGUCUGCUCCCCUGAAAUGCAUUAGCGAGGUUCAUACUGAGCUUCCGUCUAUUGGUGUGAUAAUUAUCUACGCCGUGGACAGGGUUCAGACUCGCUUCUAACCGUCCCUCGGGACAAUACCCAUGACAAUUUGACCUCAAAUCAGGUAGGACUACCCGCUGAACUUAA
rnacentral:misc_RNA from 1 species